rnacentral:lncRNA from 1 species
AUAUAUCUCAAUGCAAUAUUGUAACUCAGUCCGGAUACUAUACUCUUAUGAGUACGAUCGCCUUCGUACUAAUAAGUCGUUUUCGAUGAUAAAGCUUUCGAAUCAACGAUCCAUACCGUUAAACGUUAUCUAGAGCAUGCAUUUUAAACUUUUAGAAAUCAAAUUUUAUAAUUUUUUGACAUUAUUUACCUUACAAUCAAAAGAUCUCAAAAUUGACAAUUUUUAACAGCCGAUAUGGGACACUUGUUAGUUUAACUAUGUAAAAAAUCAAAAUUGAUUGAAUUUUUGAUAGAAAAUUUUAUUUACUAUGUAGAUAAAAGAUCAAUAACCCCGAUCAUCCAUUUUAGGACAUCGUUCAAUUUUGACUAUUUAUUUUAUGCACGCUUGAUAACUUUUAUUAUGAUUUUGAAAAAUUAUGAAAUUUAUUCUUUAAAAGUUUCAAAUACCCUCGAUCAUAUUUAAUGAAAUGGAUCGUCGAUUCGGAAGCUCCAUCAUUGAAAACAACUUGUGAGUACAAAGGGCUCUAUACUAAUAAGAGUAUAGUAGUCAUACUCUAUUGUACCUAAUUUUUAACUACUAAAUAUUUCCAAAAUUAAAAUCCAUCCUUAAAGACGCAAUCUAAAAAAUCAAACCAAACCAUGUAUACAAAAUCACAA